CGGGUUAAAAUCUAGUUUAGU
rnacentral:snRNA from 1 species